rnacentral:rRNA from 1 species
UACCCAAAAAACCGAGUUUGAUCCUGGCUCAGAAUGAACGCUAGCGAUAUGCUUAACACAUGCAAGUCGAACGUGGUUUUCCAUCCUCCUUUCUUCCCUCGCCACUACUCCUCUGCUCUGGGAUCCAAGGGAUCCGAGGACUUCUAAACCUGGCCACUUCUGGCAAGUGGCACGGGGCCUGAACAUUCGUGCGGCACCACUUUGAAUGAGGGCCGGCAACUGGUCUUAUCCAAGGCACAUACCUUGACCGAGCGCAGGGGUUCUCCGAGGAACUUCUGCAGUGCCACAGUCUUCGAAACAACAGUAACUUUUAUAGGUUCUCCGCUGCGCGAAGAACCUAUCUUGGUCCAACUUUCGCAGGCAGAAUUACCCUUUUAAAGUUGUUUGCAGAAGGGAACUUCUGCUGCGCGAAGCAGAAGUUUCUGCCUGCAACCCUAACAACCAACAACCUUUUGCCAACCAAACAACCUUUUCCCCUGCGUCCUUAAAAAAAGGUAUGUGCCUUGACCGAGCGCAGGGGUUCUCCGAGGGACUUCUUGGACCGAACUGGGGUUGCUCAAAGUUUGUGGCUGGCUUUCCUUCGUGCCUUCGCUUCGCUGCGCGAAGCAGAAGUUCACACCAACUUGCCCCCAACAAGAAGUUUGUUUCUUUUGGCACCAACGGGGAGGGGAGGGGAGGGGAAAGCUGCGCUCAGAAAAAGAACUAAAGUUCUUCCCCAGGGGAAAAGGUUGUUUGUGUGAACUUCUGCUCGGAGAACCCCUGCGCAGGUAUUACCUGCUUUUGGAGGUCCUUCGCUGGGGGAAGGCCCCCCCCUGCGCUCAGCAUAAGUUAGUUCUAACUUCUGGUCCAAGAAGUGCGAACUUUUGGCACGGUAGGCUCAGAUUCAACUCUCUUGGUCGGUUGGUUGCAGGCCAGGCAGAAGUCUCUUCUGCUUCGCUGCGCCGGGUCCAAGAAGAACGGCACGGGGGAAAGCUGCGCGGAGAGGGAGGCUGGCACGGGGUUUAGAAGUGAACCGGCACGCCUUCACCCCCCCCCUGCGCUCAGACUUUUUUGUUUUGUUGGGAGGCCCCCACCUCGGAGGGGAGGGGAGAACCCCUGCGCUCGGUAAAGGUAUGUGCCUUUGGGGAAGGGCCUGCCAAGCCAGCCAGCCCCCAACUUUCCCAAGAAGUGGCACUCAUUGGUCCAGGACGGACGAGGACGGACAGGGAGUGAGAACGGUUGAAAACUAACUUCGUGGCGAACGGGUGCGUAACGCGUGGGAAUCUGCCAAACAGUUUGGGCCAAAUCCUGAAUAAACGAAAGCGCGGGGAAGGCCGGGAAUGAGAACUAACUUUUGCGCGCGCGCAAAACAAACUGGGAAGAACUUAACUUAACUGUAACUUAAGAAGUUGGCCACUUUUUUUAAGAAGUGGCUUCCCCCCGCUAACCCGAUCCUUUGGGGAACCCAGAAGGGUUGUUGGUUGGUUGGUUGUUUGUGGCACUCAUUCGAAGGUAUGUGCCUUUACCAGCGAGGUUAAGGCACAUACCUUGAAUUGGAUUGGAUUGAAUUGAAUCUGAUUUGAUUCAAUCCAAUCCAAUCUGAUUUGAUUUAAGAAGUGGCAUCCGAAGAUAAGGGUUAUUCGACUUUUUCGACUUACCCCAACUUAAGUCUUCGAACGGUUUUCGGUGGGAGCCCGAUCUUUUCCCCGGGCUUACCACUGAGUUCUCUCAGGGGAAUAGGGCGAGGGGCGGGGACCCCGUUCCUCUUCCCCUGCGCUCGGAUAACUUCUGCACAUACCUCCCCAAAGAGACCCUUCCUUCACGUAGCUGCGCGAAGAACCAGCCACCCCUUCUGGAGGCCGGUAGCUGCGCUCAGAGCUAACCGGGGAGGGGAGAAGCUGUGAGGCCCUUCCGGAAAACGUCCGUCCGCCAGCCCGAGCGCUAACCUCUCGGGCACGCCUUCGAUAAAGCUAAAAAGCGCUGUUUGAUGAGCCUGCGUAGUAUUAGGUAGUUGGUUAGGUAAAGGCUGACCAAGCCGCAGAUGCUUAGCUGGUCUUUUCGGACGAUCAGCCACACUGGGACUGAGACACGGCCCAGACUCCUACGGGAGGCAGCAGUGGGGAAUCUUGGACAAUGGGCUACCAGCCUGAUCCAGCAAUAUCGCGUGAGUGAGUGAAAAACGUCGCUAACGCGAGGAAGGGCAAUGCCGCUUGUAAAGCUCUUUCGUCGGGUUGGCGAUUAUGACAAGACUCGAAGAAGAAGCCCCGGCUAACUCCGUGCCAGCAGCCGCGGUAAGACGGGGGGGGCAAGUGUUAUUCGGAAUGACUGGGCGUAAAGGGCACGUAGGCGGUGAAUCAGGUUGAAAGUGAAAGGCGCCAGCUCAACCGGCGGAAUGCUUUCAAAACCAAUUCACUUGAGUGAGAUAGAGGAGAGUGGAAUUUCGUGUGUAGGGAUAAAAUCCGGAGAUAUACGAAGGAACGCCGAAAUAGCGAAGGCAGCUCUCUGGGUCUCUACUGACGCUGGGGUGCGAAAGCAUGGGGAGCGAACAGGAUUAGAUACCCUGGUAGUCCAUGCCGUAAACGAUGAGUGUUCGUCCUUGGUCUGCAAGCGUUUGAUCGGGGGCCCAGCUAACGCGUUAAACACUCCGCCUGGGGAGUACGGUCGCAAGACUGAAACUCAAAGGAAUCGACGGGGGCCUGCACAAGCGGUGGAGCAUGUGGUUUAAUUCGAUACAACGCGCAAAACCUUACCAGCCCUUGACAUAUGAACACUUGACCUAUGAACAAGUGACAAGUGUGCUUGUCCUUAACAGGAUGAAACGAAAAUUCAUACAGGUGCUGCAUGGCUGUCGUCAGCUCGUGUCGUGAGACGUUUUUGGUUAACUCCUAUAACGAGCGAAACCCUCGUUUUGUGUUGCUAAGACAUGCUGCUUUCGAAGGAUCAAUGCCAUCAUCCGCAGAAACUACUUUCAUAGAACGGCCGCGGCAAACCGACCUGCUUUCCUUAGCGCUUCCCCAAACCACCGCUUCCCCCGCACCGCUUCCCCCGCAACCAACCCGCAACAAACAAACAACUUAUUCCCCUGCGGCACUGUUUAAUGCCAGCCCUUCACAACCCCGCUGGCAGGCGGGCUUAGCGCUUCCCCCGCGGCCGAAGGCCACCUGGCAAGCGAUCAAUGGCAGGCAAACUCCCCCACUUUACUUUACAAAGCCAGCAGGCAGAAGUUCUCCGAGCGCAGGGUUUCUCCCCUCCCCUCCGAGGAACCCUGCGGGAAAAGCUGGUCCUGAAAAGAGAAGAGAAGAGAAGAGAAGAGAAGAAAAGAACUGGUCCUGGGGAAGAAGCGCGCGCGGGGGAGCGCUUUUGCGCGCGCGUAACGCAAAUCCUGUGUGGUUCCGACGAGCGAGCCCGGCACAACCCACCACCUAGUAAUGGGUGGUGAGUGGGAAAGGGAAAGACCCGGCAGCGUCAAUCGAGUGUCCGCAUAAGUUCCUCUCCCUGCGCUCGGUCAAGAACUUCCAACCUUCUGCCUCUCUUCCCCCAAUGCUUGGGGGAAGAGGCUUGGGGGUUUGAAGUCCGACUUUCCUUCAAACGCACGCACGCUGGGGGAAGGGCCGGGCUGGCUGUUUGGGGUUGCUGUUGGUUGAAACUUCUGCAAACCCCGGAGGGGAGGGGAGAACCCCUGCGCUCAGCAAAGCUGGGGGAACGAGUGGGGGGGGGCUGGGGGUUGUUUGUUUGGGUUUGCCGGCAGAAGGCAAACCGGGGGCCUCUGCUUCGCGCAGAAACUAACUUCUGCGGCAGGCAGGCAGUUGGGGAAGGGAAGACCUGGUUCUUCGCGCAGCGAAGAACUUCUGCUUCUCUCUUAUAUUCCUCUGAAGGUUGGUUGUUUGUGGGGAAAAGGGUUAAAAGUUGGCUGGUUCUUCGCGCAGCGAAGAACUUCUGCGGAUUUCAAAACAAACACAGCUUCCCCACCAACUUGCUUGCCCACUGCCCGCCCCUUCCCCGGGGCUCGGUAAAGGCAAUACCUGCCACCUCUUCCCCGGGGCUCGGUCAAGGCAAUACCAAGCUGGCUGCCACAAACUUCCCUCUUGGCGCCAGCCUGGCAGGGCACUACCGUGGGACGGCAUAAGCCAGGUGCAGAAGGUUGUUUGUUUUCCGAGCGCAGGGGUUCUCCUCCCCUCCCCGAGGGGCGGAGCCACUGGCAAUAGUGGCACGUGCCAGCCAGGUAUGUGCAGAAGUUCCGAGCGCAGGGCUCCCCUCCCCUCCGAGGUGAAGGGCUCCCGGCCUGCCUUUUCGGACCACCCGGGCAACCCACGGCCCCGGUAGCCCGCAAGCCCGUUACCCCUUAAGAUGUUACGGGCGCCGGCACCCACCUCUUCAAACCCCUGCGCUCGGAACUUCUGCGUAUUUCCUGGCAGUGCACCCCGUAACGUAGUGUCCUUCGGGCCCUGCCACCGGGGGAGGGGAGGGGAGGGGAGGGGAGGGGAGGAGCCCCGGUGCUCGGAUAACUUACAACCUUCUGCACCUGCAAACCACCUCUGGGGGAGGGGAGGGGAGGGGAGGGGAAAACCUGUGCUCGGAAAACAAACAACCUUCUGCACAUACGCAGAAGGGCGCAGCCCCAACUUCUGGCUCGGUCAAGGCACAUACCUGCUUGCCGCCUGGCAAAGUUCUGUGUUCAGUCAAGGAGGGAGAGUGGGACAACUUGGAUCCCGACUCGGGCGGGCUUUCGGAUGGCACUCCGUGUUGAAAUAGGUUUGCACUCACAAAAGACUGCCUGCCUAGUCUACUUAUGGAGGAAGGUGGGGAUGACGUCAAGUCCGCAUGGCCCUCAUGGGCUGGGCUACACACGUGCUACAAUGGCAAUUACAAUGGGAAGCAAGGCCGUAAGGCGGAGCGAAUCCAGAAAGAUUGCCUCAGUUCGGAUUGUUCUCUGCAACUCGAGAACAUGAAGUUGGAAUCGCUAGUAAUCGCGGAUCAGCAUGCCGCGGUGAAUAUGUACCCGGGCCCUGUACACACCGCCCGUCACACCCUGGGAAUUGGCCUCGCCCGAAGCAUCGACUUUCUAACCAAGGAUCACCCAUUACGGCAAGUGUUCCACGCCGUCGUUGAGUGUGGCCCACUUUGGGUUUGGUGGUCUCCUUGGCGCAUACCACGGUUGGGUCAGUGACUGAGGUGAAGUCGUAACAUGGUAGUCGUAGGGGAACCUGUGGCUGGAUGGAAUCCU